rnacentral:sRNA from 10 species
UUGUGUGUAGGAGGAAUUGAUUUAUUUUAGUGGAAACAAGGAAACACUAAAAUUAAAUCAGUUUUUAA